rnacentral:rRNA from 1 species
UAGCCGUAAACGAUACUCGCUAGGUGUCGGCCACGGUGCGACCGUUGUCGGUGCCGUAGGGAAGCCGUGAAGCGAGCCACCUGGGAAGUACGGCCACAAGGCUGAAACUUAAAGGAAUUGGCGGGGGAGCACAACAACGGGUGGAGCUUGCGGUUUAAUUGGAUUCAACGCCGGAAAUCUUACCGGGACCGACAGCAACAUGAAGGCCAAGCUGAAGACUUUGCCGGAUUAGCUGAGAGGAGGUGCAUGGCGUAGUCGUGU